rnacentral:rRNA from 1 species
UUGCUUCUCUUGAGAGCGGCGGACGGGUGAGUAAUGCCUAGGAAUCUGCCUGGUAGUGGGGGAUAACGUCCGGAAACGGACGCUAAUACCGCAUACGUCCUACGGGAGAAAGCAGGGGACCUUCGGGCCUUGCGCUAUCAGAUGAGCCUAGGUCGGAUUAGCUAGUUGGUGGGGUAAUGGCUCACCAAGGCGACGAUCCGUAACUGGUCUGAGAGGAUGAUCAGUCACACUGGAACUGAGACACGGUCCAGACUCCUACGGGAGGCAGCAGUGGGGAAUAUUGGACAAUGGGCGAAAGCCUGAUCCAGCCAUGCCGCGUGUGUGAAGAAGGUCUUCGGAUUGUAAAGCACUUUAAGUUGGGAGGAAGGGCAGUAAAUUAAUACUUUGCUGUUUUGACGUUACCGACAGAAUAAGCACCGGCUAACUCUGUGCCAGCAGCCGCGGUAAUACAGAGGGUGCAAGCGUUAAUCGGAAUUACUGGGCGUAAAGCGCGCGUAGGUGGUUCGUUAAGUUGGAUGUGAAAUCCCCGGGCUCAACCUGGGAACUGCAUUCAAAACUGACGAGCUAGAGUAUGGUAGAGGGUGGUGGAAUUUCCUGUGUAGCGGUGAAAUGCGUAGAUAUAGGAAGGAACACCAGUGGCGAAAGCGACCACCUGGACUGAUACUGACACUGAGGUGCGAAAGCGUGGGGAGCAAAC